rnacentral:rRNA from 1 species
CUAAGAAUAUUCCGCAAUGGACGGAAGUCUGACGGAGCGACGCCGCGUGGAUGACGAAGGCCGAAAGGUUGUAAAGUUCUUUUGCUGGGGAAGAAUAACCGCAGGAGGGAAUGCCUGUGGGAUGACAAGAACCGGCGAAUAUGCCCCGGCCAACUACGUGCCAGCAGCCGCGGUAACACGUAGGGGGCGAGCGUUGUUCGGAAUUACUGGGCGUAAAGGGCAUGUAGGCGGCUUGGAAAGCCUGGCGUGAAAGUCUGCAGCUUAACUGCAGGGGUGCGCUGGGAACUGCUGAGCUUGAGUGACGGAGAGGGAGCUGGAAUUCCUGGUGUAGGGGUGAAAUCUGUAGAUAUCAGGAAGAACACCGAUGGCGAAGGCAAGCUCCUGGCCGAUGACUGACGCUGAGGUGCGAAAGUGUGGGGAUCAAACAGGAUUAGAUACCCUGGUAGUCCACACAGUCAACGAUGUGCACUAGGUGCUGGGGCGGUAGCUUCGGUGCCGGAGCGAACGUGGUAAGUGCACCGCCUGGGGAGUAUGCUCGCAAGGGUGAAACUCAAGGAAUUGACGGGGGUCAUAGCUGUUU